rnacentral:rRNA from 1 species
CAGUAGCCGCGGUAAUACGAAGGGUGCAAGCGUUACUCGGAAUUACUGGGCGUAAAGCGUGCGUAGGUGGUGGUUUAAGUCCGUUGUGAAAGCCCUGGGCUCAACCUGGGAAUUGCAGUGGAUACUGGGUCACUAGAGCGUGGUAGAGGAUAGUGGAAUUUCCGGUGUAGCAGUGAAAUGCGUAGAGAUUGGAAGGAACAUCUGUGGCGAAGGCGACUAUCUGGGCCAACACUGACACUGAGGCACGAAAGCGUGGGGAGCAAACAGGAUUAGAUACCCCAGUAGUCCCUGUCUCUUAUAC